GGGAUUGCUAGGCCUGCUGUUCAUCCUCACGAUUCUGUUCAGUAACAUCAGGAACGACAACGUCACGGAGAGAUUCAUCAGCAUCUAAACUGCCUCACCUGGCCCCGACCUUGUAGAAAGCGACACAACGAGAAAUUGACCCAGAAACCACCGAACGAAGAUUUCCCAACCCCCAGCCAGUUGAUGAUAUAGCACACGAUAUGCACACGUUAUUAUCUUGCCUUGCCUCAUGUUUUUAUUUGAAUAAAUAUUGUUUAAAUGUUA